rnacentral:rRNA from 1 species
CGUGUAGGCGGUUGGUUAAGUCGGAUGUGAAAGCCUGGGGCUCAGCCCCAGAAGUGCAUCCGAAACUAUCCGGCUAGAGCGCGAUAGAGGAGGGUGGAAUUCCUGGUGUAGCGGUGAAAUGCGUAGAUAUCAGGAGGAACACCGGCGGCGAAGGCGGCCCUCUGGAUCGUUGCUGACGCUGAGACGCGAAAGCGUGGGGAGCAAACAGGAUUAGAUACCCUGGUAGUCCACGCCUUAAACGAUGGGUACUAGGUGUUCGGGGUGUUGACCCCCUGAGUGCCGCAGUUAACGCAUUAAGUACCCCGCCUGGGGACUACGGCCGCAGGUUAAA